rnacentral:rRNA from 1 species
UACGAAGGGGGCUAGCGUUGUUCGGAAUUACUGGGCGUAAAGCGAACGUAGGCGGUGUUCCAUGUCAGAGGUGAAAGCCUGGGGCUCAACUCCAGAAUUGCCUUUGAAACGGGAACGCUUGAGUCCGAGAGAGGAUGGCGGAAUUCCUAGUGUAGAGGUGAAAUUCGUAGAUAUUAGGAAGAACACCGGUGGCGAAGGCGGGUCUCUGGGCAACAACUGACGCUGAGGAGCGAAAGCGUGGGGAGCGAACAGG